rnacentral:rRNA from 1 species
UACGGAGGAUGCGAGCGAUAUCCGGAUUUAUUGGGUUUAAAGGGUGCGUAGGCGGACUGUUAAGUCAGCGGUAAAAGCCCGGGGCUCAACCCCGGCGAGCCGUUUGAACUGGCGCGCUUGAGUUCAGGCGAGGUAGGCGGAAUUCGUGGUGUAGCGGUGAAAUGCAUAGAUAUCACGAAGAACCCCGAUUGCGAAGGCAGCAUACCGGUGCACAACUGACGCUCAGGCACGAAAGCGUGGGUAUCGAACAGG